GUAUAAUUCAAGCCUGCUGGUAUAAUUCAAGCCUGCUGGUAUAAUUCAUGCCUUGUGGUAUAUUUCAAGCCUUCCUGUCUACGUCUCUAUAUUUCAAGCGUGGUGGUAUAAUUCAUGCCUGGUGGUAUAAUUCAAGCCUCGUGGUAUAUUUCAAGCCUGCAGGUAUAUUUCAAGCCUGGUGGUAUAAUUCAAGCCUGCAGGUAUAUUUCAAGCCUGGUGGUAUAAUUCAAGCCUGCAGGUAUAUUUCAAGCCUGGUGGUAUAAUUCAAGCCUGCAGGUAUAUUUCAAGCCUGGUGGUAUAAUUCAAGCCUGCAGGUAUAUUUCAAGCCUGGUGGUAUAAUUCAAGCCUGCAGGUAUAUUUCAAGCCUG
ensembl:lncRNA